rnacentral:rRNA from 1 species
CCCAGACUCCUACGGGAGGCAGCAGUGAGGAAUAUUGGUCAAUGGGCGAGAGCCUGAACCAGCCAAGUCGCGUGAGGGAGUACUGCCCUAUGGGUUGUAAACCUCUUUUGUCGGGGAGCAAAAGCCGGACGUGUCCGGCUGUGAGAGUACCCGAAGAAAAAGCAUCGGCUAACUCCGUGCCAGCAGCCGCGGUAAUACGUAGGUGGCAAGCGUUGUCCGGAUUUACUGGGUGUAAAGGGCGUGCAGCCGGAGAGACAAGUCAGAUGUGAAAUCCACGGGCUCAACCCGUGAACUGCAUUUGAAACUGUUUCCCUUGAGUGUCGGAGAGGUAAUCGGAAUUCCUUGUGUAGCGGUGAAAUGCGUAGAUAUAAGGAAGAACACCAGUGGCGAAGGCGGAUUACUGGACGAUAACUGACGGUGAGGCGCGAAAGCGUGGGGAGCAAACAGGAUUAGAUACCCCCGUAAU